rnacentral:rRNA from 1 species
UUAAGCGACUAAGCGUACACGGUGGAUGCCCUGGCAGUCAGAGGCGAUGAAGGACGUGCUAAUCUGCGAAAAGCGUCGGUAAGGUGAUAUGAACCGUUAUAGCCGGCGAUGUCCGAAUGGGGAAACCCAGUGCAAUUCGUUGCACUAUCGUUAACUGAAUACAUAGGUUAACGAGGCGAACCGGGGGAACUGAAACAUCUAAGUACCCCGAGGAAAAGAAAUCAACCGAGAUUCCCCCAGUAGCGGCGAGCGAACGGGGAGCAGCCCAGAGUCUGAAUCAGCUUGUGUGUUAGUGGAACGGUCUGGAAAGUCCGACGGUACAGGGUGAUAGUCCCGUACACCAAAAUGCACAGGCUGUGAACUCGAAGAGUAGGGCGGGACACGUGGUAUCCUGUCUGAAUAUGGGGGGACCAUCCUCCAAGGCUAAAUACUCCUGACUGACCGAUAGUGAACCAGUACCGUGAGGGAAAGGCGAAAAGAACCCCGGCGAGGGGAGUGAAAAAGAACCUGAAACCGUGUACGUACAAGCAGUGGGAGCACCUUCGGGUGUGACUGCGUACCUUUUGUAUAAUGGGUCAGCGACUUAUAUUCUGUAGCAAGGUUAACCGUAUAGGGGAGCCGCAGGGAAACCGAGUCUUAACUGGGCGUUAAGUUGCAGGGUAUAGACCCGAAACCCGGUGAUCUAGCCAUGGGCAGGUUGAAGGUUGGGUAACACUAACUGGAGGACCGAACCGACUAAUGUUGAAAAAUUAGCGGAUGACUUGUGGCUGGGGGUGAAAGGCCAAUCAAACCGGGAGAUAGCUGGUUCUCCCCGAAAGCUAUUUAGGUAGCGCCUCGUGAAUUCAUCUUCGGGGGUAGAGCACUGUUUCGGCUAGGGGGUCAUCCCGACUUACCAACCCGAUGCAAACUACGAAUACCGAAGAAUGUUAUCACGGGAGACACACGGCGGGUGCUAACGUCCGUCGUGAAGAGGGAAACAACCCAGACCGCCAGCUAAGGUCCCAAAGUCAUGGUUAAGUGGGAAACGAUGUGGGAAGGCACAGACAGCCAGGAUGUUGGCUUAGAAGCAGCCAUCAUUUAAAGAAAGCGUAAUAGCUCACUGGUCGAGUCGGCCUGCGCGGAAGAUGUAACGGGGCUAAACCAUGCACCGAAGCUGCGGCAGCGACACUAUGUGUUGUUGGGUAGGGGAGCGUUCUGUAAGCCUGCGAAGGUGACCUGUGAGGGUUGCUGGAGGUAUCAGAAGUGCGAAUGCUGACAUAAGUAACGAUAAAGCGGGUGAAAAGCCCGCUCGCCGGAAGACCAAGGGUUCCUGUCCAACGUUAAUCGGGGCAGGGUGAGUCGACCCCUAAGGCGAGGCCGAAAGGCGUAGUCGAUGGGAAACAGGUUAAUAUUCCUGUACUUGGUGUUACUGCGAAGGGGGGACGGAGAAGGCUAUGUUAGCCGGGCGACGGUUGUCCCGGUUUAAGCAUGUAGGCUGAUUGUCCAGGCAAAUCCGGAUAAUCAAGGCUGAGGUGUGAUGACGAGGCACUACGGUGCUGAAGUAACAAAUGCCCUGCUUCCAGGAAAAGCCUCUAAGCAUCAGGUAACAUUAAAUCGUACCCCAAACCGACACAGGUGGUCAGGUAGAGAAUACCAAGGCGCUUGAGAGAACUCGGGUGAAGGAACUAGGCAAAAUGGUGCCGUAACUUCGGGAGAAGGCACGCUGGUGUGUAGGUGAAGUCCCUGCGGAUGGAGCUGAGACCAGUCGAAGAUACCAGCUGGCUGCAACUGUUUAUUAAAAACACAGCACUGUGCAAACACGAAAGUGGACGUAUACGGUGUGACGCCUGCCCGGUGCCGGAAGGUUAAUUGAUGGGGUUAUCCGUAAGGAGAAGCUCUUGAUCGAAGCCCCGGUAAACGGCGGCCGUAACUAUAACGGUCCUAAGGUAGCGAAAUUCCUUGUCGGGUAAGUUCCGACCUGCACGAAUGGCGUAAUGAUGGCCAGGCUGUCUCCACCCGAGACUCAGUGAAAUUGAACUCGCUGUGAAGAUGCAGUGUACCCGCGGCAAGACGGAAAGACCCCGUGAACCUUUACUAUAGCUUGACACUGAACAUUGAGCCUUGAUGUGUAGGAUAGGUGGGAGGCUUUGAAGCGUGGACGCCAGUCUGCGUGGAGCCAACCUUGAAAUACCACCCUUUAAUGUUUGAUGUUCUAACGUUGGCCCCUGACCGGGGUUGCGGACAGUGUCUGGUGGGUAGUUUGACUGGGGCGGUCUCCUCCCAAAGCGUAACGGAGGAGCACGAAGGUUAGCUAAUCCUGGUCGGACAUCAGGAGGUUAGUGCAAUGGCAUAAGCUAGCUUGACUGCGAGCGUGACGGCGCGAGCAGGUGCGAAAGCAGGUCAUAGUGAUCCGGUGGUUCUGAAUGGAAGGGCCAUCGCUCAACGGAUAAAAGGUACUCCGGGGAUAACAGGCUGAUACCGCCCAAGAGUUCAUAUCGACGGCGGUGUUUGGCACCUCGAUGUCGGCUCAUCACAUCCUGGGGCUGAAGUAGGUCCCAAGGGUAUGGCUGUUCGCCAUUUAAAGUGGUACGCGAGCUGGGUUUAGAACGUCGUGAGACAGUUCGGUCCCUAUCUGCCGUGGGCGCUGGAGAAUUGAGGGGGGCUGCUCCUAGUACGAGAGGACCGGAGUGGACGCAUCACUGGUGUUCGGGUUGUCAUGCCAAUGGCACUGCCCGGUAGCUAAAUGCGGAAGAGAUAAGUGCUGAAAGCAUCUAAGCACGAAACUUGCCCCGAGAUGAGUUCUCCCUGAGACUUUAAGUCUCCUGAAGGAACGUUGAAGACGACGACGUUGAUAGGCCGGGUGUGUAAGCGCAGCGAUGCGUUGAGCUAACCGGUACUAAUGAACCGUGAGGCUUAACCUU